UACGUAGGAUGCAAGCGUUGUCCGGAAUUAUUGGGCGUAAAGAGUUCGUAGGCGGUUUAUUAAGUCAGAGGUUAAAGACCAAGGCUCAACCUUGGGAGUGCCUUUGAUACUGGUAGGCUUGAGGACGGCAGAGGAAAGUGGAAUUCCAAGUGUAGCGGUGAAAUGCGUAGAUAUUUGGAGGAACACCAGUGGCGAAAGCGACUUUCUGGGCCGUUACUGACGCUGAGGAACGAAAGCGUGGGGAGCAAACAGG
rnacentral:rRNA from 1 species